GGUUUAAUUCGAAGCAACGCGAAGAACCUUACCAGGCCUUGACAUGCAGAGAACUUUCCAGAGAUGGAUUGGUGCCUUCGGGAACUCUGACACAGGUGCUGCAUGGCUGUCGUCAGCUCGUGUCGUGAGAUGUUGGGUUAAGUCCCGUAACGAGCGCAACCCUUGUCCUUAGUUACCAGCACGUUAUGGUGGGCACUCUAAGGAGACUGCCGGUGACAAACCGGAGGAAGGUGGGGAUGACGUCAAGUCAUCGUGGCCCUUACGGCCUGGGCUACACACGUGCUACAAUGGUCGGUACAAAGGGUUGCCAAGCCGCGAGGUGGAGCUAAUCCCAUAAAACCGAUCGUAGUCCGGAUCGCAGUCUGCAACUCGACUGCGUGAAGUCGGAAUCGCUAGUAAUCCGUGAACUCACGAAUGUACAACGGUAGAAUACGUCCGGGCCGU
rnacentral:rRNA from 1 species